AUCUGCUGUACAAAAUCGGCGAGCACCCGGUACCGAAUUAAUGGUCGGUGUACGCACAUAUUGUGCACUUCCGUACACACCGUCGGGUGCCAGACCAGUUGGCUUUUCUAUUCCUUUGUUCAGGGGUGAUCUCUACUUUAGAGAUCGCGACCUAGGGAGUGAGUGCCUCUGAUGGUAUCUUUAGGAGAGCGAGAUCCCCGAGGUACAUGGUCACGCGGCCUCGCCGACGAGCUGCCGCUCCAGCAAUCCUCUUUCGGCUAUUCUGUCGCCGCCCGCGGCCUCGCACCGCGUCCGCCUCCUCACCGCCCGCAGCCCCUGCCGUCCGCGCUGCCGGCCGUCACAGGCGCAGCUGUUGGUGUAGCGACCGAAGUCGAAGUUGUUGGCGUCCCCAUCCUCUGCCGUCGAGGCGCCAAAGUAGCGGCAGCAGCUAAUACUGCUACAACAGGCCGACCUACCACGAGUUCAGGGCCGUGUCGCCAGCUACCGCCGGUACCACGCCGGCAUUUCGGAGAGGCGCUCGGACGAGGUCGGUCGCAACCGCAGUCGCACAUGACGCUUGCGGUGUCCGUGCUUCGGUCCCCCGGCGCCGAUUCGCGCCCUCGCGCCGCGCCGGCACGUCGCCGGUCGGCCCCCGCGAAGCGUCGCGCCUCCGGCACCGGACCCCGCGCCGCACCUUCCGCGUUCAGGCCGCCACGUCUGCCCGCGCACUCACGCCGGUGCCGGACCGCGCCCGCCGUGCGCCUCCGGCCCCUCGCCGUGACUGUGUCGGUCCUUGCCGGUGCCGCGCCCGCUUGCACCGGUGCCGGCCGCUGCUCCCGGGCUCCACGCCGUUCAAAACUCCGGACCACGAGAGCCAAUGCUCGCACGACUAUUGCACAAAUCACAUCUUGCUCUCUUACGUUUUACUAAGUUCACAGUAGAAAUAACUAGUACAAGU
rnacentral:rRNA from 1 species